CUCUGAUUCUCUCCCUCUAUAUAACCUGACCUGAUUUUCAGAUCCUGCUCGAAGCUACCGCCACCGCCGCCGAUUGCUCGAGCUCGCUUCCUUACGCCGGAUCUGCAUCUGCGUGCUGAUAUCUUCUUUUCCUGUUCGCUCGUUCCGUGCUUCUCUGUUUUUUCCCUAUUCUUCUCUCAACUGUGCGAGGGAUUGGUUCGUAGCUCGGGCUGAUGAUGAUUUGGAUCCGAGAGGAUCUUAGCGGAUUUCGGUGAGGCGGAUACUUCCGCCGCUGAUCGCCUUAUGUUGUUACACACACUGAAGCCCCCCCUUCGAUGCGUCUAUCAGAUGGGUUCUUUUCCCGUUUCGUCUCUCUCGCUAGAUUUCUCACUGGGUGGCUGCUGCAAUGCGAUGAUGAUUCAAUACAUGGUUUUGGCAGUGGUUACCCCUUGUGGUCACCGUGAGCCGUCAAACCUGAAAACGACUUCUCUUUCCACUGAGCAUUGCGAAAAAAAUGCAGCGUAUUAUCAUCGGGCAAUUGAAUUUAUCAUCAAAUCCACACUGAUUCUAGCAAAAAAAAAACAGAUAAUUUCACGUGAGUCUCAAGUUUUUGAAAACUCAAUGCAGGUUUCAUGGAAGUGACUUUACGGCACCUGCCAAUUACCAGUCGCCCCAUUUUUUAGGAACGAACGCACCUUUCCUCAACACGGGUCGAAUCGGACAUCCAAGGCCAAACAAAUCCUUGAUAAAACCCGCAUUCAGUAUCGUCUGACAGCAGAGAGCAACUUCAGCGCCACCCGUUGCUUCACCUUGCCGCCUGAAACCACAACGGCGCCGUCCCUGACCAGAGCGUUAUCCACCGGCCGAUCUGAAUGUAUCAUGCCUAGCAGUUCCGAGUUUCUGCGGCGGGGUAUCAUUGUUUGAUCAAGUCGUCCUUGGCCAUUAUCAGAUUCGGGCAUCAUUUCUAGGCAUGCAGUUCAUUACCAGCUUCAGCGGUCCACAUUGCUGAGGAAAAGAGCUUCACAGCUCUUCAUUCCUGGCAGGAUUUAGGUUGCCACUUUUCUGAUGUUGAGUAACAUUCGAGAUAUGUGUUCCGAGACUUUUGUGGACACACCAGAACAUGCUAAAUGAAUACCCUACAUUAGUUGAUCUGCAAGGAUAAAUCAGUUAUUUCA